rnacentral:lncRNA from 1 species
UCCUUUUCCCAUUCUCUUCGGUUCUCGUCGCUGUGCGGACGCCAGAGCCGAGCCAGCAUCGCCAUGCCUCGGAAAAUUGAGGAGAUCAAGGACUUUCUGCUGACAGCCCGGCAGAAGGAUGCCAAGUCUGUCAAGAUCAAGAAGAACAAGGAUAAUGUGAAGUUCAAGGUUCGCUGCAGCAGGUACCUUUACACCCUGGUUAUCACAGACAAGGAAAAGGCAGAGAAGCUGAAGCAGUCCCUACCCCCGGGUUUGGCAGUGAAGGAUCUGAAAUGAACCAGCCCUCUGCGUGUGACUAUUAAAAACCCUGAAAAGU